GGGGUUGUGGCUCAGUGGUAGAGCCUCGCCUAGCACGUGCAGACCCUGGGUUCGAGAUCCUCAGCACCA
rnacentral:tRNA from 1 species